rnacentral:lncRNA from 1 species
AUUCAACACCCAAUUGACUGAGCCACCAAGGUGCCCCUCACCAUAAUUACUUCAAUAAUUACUAGUUUACAUAAAACAUUUUUUUUUGACAGAUAAAGAUUUGUUUUAUUGAAGAACUUAUCUGUGUUGCUGCCAAAACCACUAUGUACAGACAACAGAGAGGAGAUUUUAUUUCUUGGUCUCUUCCUCCUUGGACAGAGUCUUGAUGAUUUCCUCCUUCUUGGCCUGGAGCCUCUCUUCACGGCGCUCGCGUGCUUCCUUGGUCUUAGAUCUGCGGGCCUCAGCCUGGUCAAUGUGGCGGUCAAUCUUCUUAGAUUCACGGUAUCUUCUAAGCUGCCAGCGCAGAAUUCUCAUCCUCCUCAUCCAGGUUACCUUCUCAGGCAUCGAGCCCGGGAAUGGACAGUCACAGGUUUCCGGAUGAUCAGCCCAUCUUUGAUCAGUUUCCGGAUCUGCUGACGGGAGUUGGCAUUGGCGAUUUCACCUGUCUCAUUGGAAUCCAACCAGACCUUCUUUUUGCCACAGCGGAGGACACUGGAGGCAAGCCUCUUCUGAAGCCUGAGCAUACUCAUGGCUGCAGCCGCAGCGCCGAAAGGAAAGAACUCUAAAAUAAUUUUUCUAAUUCAAGUUUAAAUUUAUAUUGGAAAUGUUUAUACCAAGUUUGAACUAUAU